GGGGAUUUAGCUCAGCGGCAUAAGCACCUGCCUUGUGAGCAGGUGGUCGUGAGUUCGAUCCCCG
rnacentral:tRNA from 1 species